rnacentral:tRNA from 1 species
GGAGAUGUGGCUCAGUGGAAGAGCAUAUUCUUCACGUGAACAAGGCUCUGGGUUCAAUCCCUAGCACCACCA